AACCGGUCCAUUACUCACGCAUUACCAAACGUCUUUCAGUGGCUGUGGAGCUGUGUGUGUUCCUGGAGAAGCUGGGUGGCCUUUUCUUGCCACUGGAAGCCAGGUUGGGAGCAGGGGAGCGUCCCCGUGUCCUCGCCGGGGACAGCUGCUCCAGGCUCGGCUCAGCAGCGAUGACAGAGGGACCAAGCGCUGGUCCUGAGUGGAGCCUGCGACUCCGGUGAAGCAGCCAGGUGAACGAGUGCGAUAAACCAGAGAACUUGGAAAAACAAUUGCCAUUUCUGGUGCUGAACCAGCCUACUCCGAGUAAGCCUGGGGAGGGGGAGCAGUCGCUCUGGCAGCGGAGCAACAAGUCCCACACGGCGGGGAGGACUCCAGCUCCUCUUUGCAGUUCCCACUCCAGCCCCUCUUUGCAAUUCCCGUCUCUACAGCCGUGAUCACAAAGGCAGGGCUGCAUCGAGUCCGGGGCAGCAGAAUAGCUGGGCUUGUUUGCGUUUCCAGGCUGCGCAUGAAUAAAACAUCUCAGGAGCACAGGCUCCCUUUGUCUGGCCAGUAGCCGGGCGCUCUGGUUUUUGCCAUGUGCGCACAACUUGGAGGGCAAUGUUUUAAUGGGACGCCGCCUCCGACCAAAUUAAACGGCUGAUUGUUCUGUCCCGUCCUUCCCCAGCCGAGGGGGGCUUCCUCCGGCCACCGGCCCCUUCACUCCUCAUGCCACCGGCGUCGGCGGGGUCAAAACAUCCUUCCUCCCAGGCGGGACCAAAGUCAGCUCGCGGGAGACGGCUCUGCUGCCUCUGCUGAUGCUGCACAGCUUCAUCUCGAGGGGUAGAAACAGCAGCUCUGGGUGCCUGCCUGUCCCACCUACUGAGUUUCUGCUGAGAAAAGACAUCAGAAAUGAGUCACAGGCAGAAUAAUUGAAACUUUCAAUGUUUCGGAGGAUAAAGGGGUGAGAGCAGCUCACGCAGAGCUCUGCCUGCAUCCCGGAGAGGCCUCCUGCCUGCUCUGAUCCGGAGGCCGACAGUGCCAGACCCCUGCCUGCUCUGGGGCUGGGGGGUGGCGUAAAGAGGGUUACUGCGGGAUCCAGCCCAAAAGCCGGGGGCUAUCGCUGGCCCUAAAGCUGAGCUCGGAACUCUUGGUCUUGGUGGCUGGGACUGCGUCUGCCACCGCCUGUGACAGCAAGACCAACCUCGGGCACAGCGUGAUCGCUGCGGUGCAGGGGACAGGGACACGAUGCUGCCGUGUUGGUGAGUGCCCCGGUGUUGCACGGUGCCGUGGCAGCGGUGCUGCUGCCGGGGGUGCUGGGAUGAACCCAAACUCCAGCGCUGCCCCACGGGGUUGCAGCAGCCCGGUCCCCGAGCCAGCUGCAAUGACUGCCCCAGCUCUGCUUGCCGAUGUUUUGGGUACCGGCCCCUGAGCAUCCUCCCGGCCCUGGGAGGGGACCAGGGCAGCCCACACCGGGGCUGUCCCAGCUCACCACUGGUCCAGGGUCAAAGUGGGGAAAAUUUCUAAAGAAACAGGGUUUUGCUGGAAAACCCUGACUUGUCCCAGUGGAGCAGCAGCAGGCACAGGAGCAGAAGAGCCGCUCUGGCCUCGGCUGGCUCCCCCAACUCAGAAAUAACUGGGCAAAAAUCAUCCCCCCGACCGAGCCGCACUGCACGCGAUGGGGAAAGCAACACGAUAACAACAACAACAACAACAACAAUAAUAAUAAUAAACCCCAGUUCACUGAGAGCCUAAUGGGGCAGAGUCUGCAGUGACAGAGUCACUCAUCCACAUGCGAUGCCGCAGCCCAGUUCCCGGUGCAGAGCUGGGGCCACGCCGUAUCGUGUCCCCAUGGUUCGGGCACCGUCCCCAUCCCUGCAGCCGCUGCUUCAGGGGUGCUAUUAAACAGUUUAUUAAAUAACGGAGCCUUUAAAAUGUUACCAAAAAAGUGAUCAGGAUGCAUUUUACUCAACCUUUUCUUACAGAUGAAACCUUUCCACGGCUGUUCGGCUUAAGAAAAAGCUGUUGAGGUGAAAAAACUGAUUAAAAGGUCCUAUUUUUUUUUUCCCUGAAGAAACAGUAACAAUUUUGAUGGCACCAAAUUAGCGACAAAAUGUUCCUUCCAAACAGGCGGUUUAUAAUUGGAGACGAGGAUUAUUUUUUUUUAAUUCCCAGCCAAGUGUGAUUUCAGCAGCUCUGGUGAGGACGGUGAGCGCGUCACCCACCACCCCCACCCCCCCCAUGCUGGAGCCCGGUGGGGGCCGGGCACCCAUCCGGCACCGGUGCCAGCUCCCACCGCGAGCAGGGGCUGCACAGCAGCGGCAUCCGCAUCCCCUCCCGCGCCGGCUGCCUCCCCCUGGGCAG